UGACAACUACCGAAGACUUCCAACACUUAG
rnacentral:piRNA from 1 species